rnacentral:lncRNA from 1 species
AGCUGGGGUUACAUAUUAUUAAACAUCCCACCACAGAGGGGUCAUUGUUGUUUGUUUGAGCUGCAUCUCCCUCCAGCCGUGUUGGGUGAGUCGGCGUACCUGUGCUGCAGGUCUCUGCCUCAUCAGCCUCACGUCUCGGUGGUACUCCUGCCUGAUGAGCUCCAGCUGACGCAGGUAUUCCUGCACACACACACACACACACACACACACACACACACACACACACACACACACACACACCUGCUUCACUCCCGCAUGCUUCUGACCAUGAGCAGCUUUUGUCCGUCUGUCUGUCCACCUGCUGUCCUUCCUGUCUUCUGUCCUGAAGCUUGUGCUGCUGUUCAGCUCCGCCCACCACCUCCUGCUCCUGACCUACAGGCUUCCUGCCGCGCUCAGCCGUGCACGGACGCAGACCCUAAUCGUCGGGCUUGUACAGGUUGGCCUCCUGCCUCCUCUGGAGGUAUUCUUCACGAGCUGCAGCCACACUGAGACACCAAAACCAUCAAAGCUUGGUGAGGUUCCGGCAGAACCCUCACUGCUCUGCUUCCAGAAACAAAUCCCCACUGAUGGGUUGAUCGUUUUUCAAACGUUUGCAGCUCACCGUUGGUAUGGCUCUGCAGGAAGAGGUGGUUGCUCCUCGUGCUGCAGCACCACAUCCAUCACUUCCUCCUGUGGAAGAGGUGGAGGAGGAGGAGGAGGAGGAGGAGGUGCAGGCGUGCCAUCUGUGUUCCUCCUCUGAAAAGCAUCUAACUGCACAUGGUACUGAUGGUACUGGCUGAUCAGCUGUGGACCAAAGUGCCUGGAGUCAGAAGCACAAAGUCCAGGAGGUUUGUGAUCAGUGAAGAAGAUGUUCCACCACAGCGUGGAACCUAAAGCCGACGUGAGCCCCAGAGGAGAACGCAGACGGGGCCAGACCUCCUGGUGACGUGAAGAUGUUUCUACUACUACAUCGUUUUAGAUGACACAAUUUAAGGCUUUAAAUGCUCAAAUGUGUCCAAUUGUUUCAUUUUUGAUCAUCUUACCAUGAAACAAACAUCAAUUCACGGGUUUCUCUGCAUCUUAAGAGACUCUGAAAGAGCAGAAAUCAUCUGGACAAUGUUUCUGUGAGGGAUUCCUCUCUGUUGAACCUUAAACCCAGUUAUUUGGAAGGGACUUGUUGAAGUUCCCUGGCUCCCCCAUGGAUGGACUUCAGCAUGUGGUGGAGGAAAACACUUCUUUCCUAUUCCAGAUACCCUGGAAAACCCAAUCCUGUUAUCACCAAACCACAUGACUGCGGCAGUACAAAUGCCAGGAGCUUGGGUUGAGAGCGUCUAGAGGCCGAGUUUCAGUUAAACUCAGACUUUUUUAGGUAACUUCAAUUGGGGAAUUCAAUUUUCCAUAAAGCUCACAAGAACAGUAUAAGUAAAGGAAGUAUAGGUAAGUUUUAUGAAGGGAUUUGUCUAAAGAAACACUUUCAACAAAUGACAUCAGGGAAAAGUGGAAAAUGGAGGGAAGUCUGACCGUAUCAGAUUGUGAUUGGUUGGAUAUUCGUGAAUCUCAAUGAAGGUGUACAAAUUCACAAGCCUGGCGGAAAUGGGACUGGAAGUGCCUAGCAAGAUUUUUCAUCAGCCAAAAGCAAAAAGCAGGUUUUGGCGCCGCUGAUGCAAACCGCUGGAGGCGGCAUGGAGCUCAGGAAGCGGAUCGUCUGCACAUCUUUUGGGAUUGCCCCCAAGAUUCUGCCAUUUUGGGCUGAAUUCCACACAGAAGUAGGGGAAAUGCUACUAAAAAGUAGAUGUACCGUUUCAAGUUUCUACCCGCCCUUUGACAAACAACAAAUAGGGAAAUAUUAAUGUGCAGUUUAAAAUCAGCCGCUAAAAAGCAACAACAAGACGUUGGCGUCCCCUGGAAGCCUGUAAAUGAUAUAUAUUUGAUGAACACAAUCACUUCUUAUCAGUGUUUAUUACACUGUGGACCAACUGGGUUGAACAUAUCAAGCUUCUGUGGCCAGAGUUUGUUGAAAAAGUUCAAAAGUUGUCUUUUUCUCUCUCGUGUUGGAUAAAACAGAAAUGAAAAAUGGGCGUGUCCGCCGUGCACUGCUUAACCCUCGCUCUGUGUUUGCAAUGCCAAUAGGACAGAGACGGGAUCAUGUAAGUCAUCGUUCCAAGAAUGAAACUUGUAAAGUAAAAACAGACUUCAGGUGUUCUCAUCAGGUGAGCUGCUGCAGUUCACUCACCUUUGAUUCCCUGCAGCCUUUCUCUGCGCAUUUGACGGAUUUGAUCUUUGAUUUGGAUUCUGCCAAAUAAAUAAACAUGUUUUAAUGGAAACAGAAGAAAAAGUAGACGGUGUCUCAUUCCAGUUUAAAAAGCUACGCGCCCUUUAAGUUUACUUGUAUUUACAGACGUGUGUGCAGCUCUCUGGCAGAAUGAAAAACGCUGAAACUCAGACUAGUUAGGAGCAUUUGAGGAUUUGAUUUGUGCAUUAGUUAGUUCUGCAUUAGUUACCUUCUUCUGUUUGAGAGCAAAACAUUACUCUAAAGAAGAUGAAGCUGAACGUCGACUUCUUGAGCCUGUUUCUCAUGCCUAUCACCAAACAUCAUUAGAAAACUAAAUACAUCCACCCUCUGAAUUAUCUUGAAUUUCAAUCUGAUUAUGUUUUGGGGUCUCAGAAAUGUCUGAACUAAUGCUUCUGACAAAUGUGGCGACUCAUUGAUGGAAAUGUUUGGGUCGAUCUGAUGAAUGCAGCCGUUACAACGAGCUCAGAAGGCAGAAGAAGAGCGUGUCCCGGCGUCGCU